UACGGAGGGUGCAAGCGUGCUCGGAAUUAUUGGGCGUAAAGGGCAGGUAGGUGGUCUUAUUUGUCUGGGGUGAAAUCCUUGAGCUUAACUCAAGAAGUGCCUCAGAAACGGUGAGACUAGAGUCCUGGAGAGGGUCGUGGAAUUCCCGGUGUAGCGGUGAAAUGCGUAGAGAUCGGGAGGAACACCAGAGGCGAAGGCGGCGACCUGGACAGGAACUGACACUCAACUGCGAAAGCGUGGGGAGCAAACAGG
rnacentral:rRNA from 1 species